rnacentral:rRNA from 1 species
AUGCCUGAGACCUGAUGGGCGCCCACGUGGUGGGUGAUCCGGUGAUCCUAUGCUGCCAAGAAAAGCAUCGGCGCGAGGUUCAAACUGCCCGUACCCUAAACCGACACAGGUGGUCAGGUAGAGAAUACUAAGGCGAUCGAGAGAAUCAUGGUUAAGGAACUCGGCAAAAUGCCCCCGUAACUUCGGGAGAAGGGGGGCCCCAACCUUGAGCACCACGUGCUGGUGUGAGGGGAUCGGGGCCGCAGAGACCAGGGGGAAGCGACUGUUUAUCAAAAACACAGGUCCAUGCGAAGUCGUAAGACGAUGUAUAUGGACUGACUCCUGCCCGGUGCUGGAAGGUUAAGGGGACCUGUUAGCUUCGGCGAAGCGGAGAACUUAAGCCCCAGUAAACGGCGGUGGUAACUAUAACCAUCCUAAGGUAGCGAAAUUCCUUGUCGGGUAAGUUCCGACCUGCACGAAUGGAGUAACGACUUCCCCGCUGUCUCAACCAUGAACUCGGCGAAAUUGCAUUACGAGUAAAGAUGCUCGUUACGCGCAGAAGGACGGAAAGACCCCGUGACCUUUACU